rnacentral:snRNA from 1 species
GGGCUCAAUUUGGCAGCACAUAUACUAAAAUUGGAAGGUGACAGUAAAGAUUAGCAUGGCCCCUGAGCAAAGAUGGCAUGCACAUUUGUGAAGAGUUCCAUAUUUAU